GAACUGAGACACGGUCCAGACUCCUACGGGAGGCAGCAGUGGGGAAUAUUGCACAAUGGGCGCAAGCCUGAUGCAGCGACGCCGCGUGGGGGAUGAAGGCCUUCGGGUUGUAAACCCCUUUCAGCAGGGAAGAAGCGAAAGUGACGGUACCUGCAGAAGAAGCGCCGGCUAACUACGUGCCAGCAGCCGCGGUAAUACGUAGGGCGCAAGCGUUGUCCGGAAUUAUUGGGCGUAAAGAGCUCGUAGGCGGUUCGUCGCGUCUGCUGUGAAAGCACGAGGCUCAACCUCGUGUCUGCAGUGGGUACGGGCGAACUAGAGUGUGGUAGGGGAGACUGGAAUUCCUGGUGUAGCGGUGGAAUGCGCAGAUAUCAGGAGGAACACCGAUGGCGAAGGCAGGUCUYUGGGCCACAACUGACGCUGAGGAGCGAAAGCGUGGGGAGCGAACAGGAUUAGAUACCCUGGUAGUCCACGCCGUAAACGGUGGGCACUAGAUGUGGGGCUCAUUCCAUGAGUUCCGCGUCGCAGCUAACGCAUUAAGUGCCCCGCCUGGGGAGUACGGCCGCAAGGCUAAAACUCAAAGGAAUUGACGGGGGCCCGCACAAGCGGCGGAGCAUGCGGAUUAAUUCGAUGCAACGCGAAGAACCUUACCAAGGC
rnacentral:rRNA from 1 species